rnacentral:rRNA from 1 species
GAUGAACGCUGGCGGCGUGCUUAACACAUGCAAGUCGAACGAGAAGUGAAGACGGAAACCUUCGGGCGGAAGGCUUUAUUUCGAGUGGCGGACGGGUGAGUAACGCGUGGGUAACCUGCCUCAUACAGGGGGAUAACAGUUGGAAACGACUGUUAAUACCGCAUAAGACCACAGCACCGCAUGGUGCGGGGGUAAAAACUCCGGUGGUAUGAGAUGGACCCGCGUUCGAUUAGCCAGUUGGCGGGGUAACGGCCCACCAAAGCGACGAUCGAUAGCCGAUCUGAGAGGAUGACCGGCCACAUUGGGACUGAGACAUGGCCCAAACUCCUACGGGAGGCAGCAGUGGGGAAUAUUGCACAAUGGGGGAAACCCUGAUGCAGCGACGCCGCGUGAGUGAAGAAGUAUUUCGGUAUGUAAAGCUCUAUCAGCAGGGAAGAAAAUGACGGUACCUGAGUAAGAAGCCCCGGCUAACUACGUG